CUGGAAGUUCCAUCCGGCCCGCCCCAUCCGGCUCACUUCACACCCUCUCAUUGGUCAUCUGCUAGGGGCGGAGCUCUCGGGACGCAUACCCAGGUAGGAGGCUGGAAGAGCAGGUGGAUGGAAGUUGGUUGAAUUGACGCCAGUUGUCUCUUGGCCCAGUCGACCAUGAGAAGGAUUCUAGAAACUGCAAGAAUUAUUCCAAAAAAAAAAAAAAAAAAGAAUUAUUCCAGGCGGAAAACCUGUUACGUCCUUCUGCUCAAAAUAUCUUUUAUUUAAGAGAACAUGGGCAUCCACUCCCCAGUGGUGUUUGUUGAGCUGUCACCCCAGGGAACCAGAUGGAUAUUGAUGUGGCUUAGAACUUGAGACCCUUGCUGACCUCCCAGUGAGAGGAAACAUUACCUAGGACUUGAACCUACACAGCACAGGUUAUUUUGGAAAGUGUCCCUGAAGCUCCACCAGACUUCCAAGGGGACCUGUGCACACAUGUUGGAAAGAGCCCCUGUUGGGAUCUUACAGCUGAAGUGUGGGACUUGGGGGACUCCAGCCUGGUAUUGCCUCUUUGUUCUUCUUUGGAAACUAGAAGGCACUAGGCAGGCUCAGAAGCGUGUUAAGUGCACAUAGGAGUUAAGAGAACAAAGUCUGUCUAAAUCUGACUGGCAGAAUGAGUGGGUGCAGUCAGAAGACUCUGGGUCUAGUACAGACUUACCUUGUCAUUCUGUUCUUAGCAGGGGUGUUUGUUCAGAGUCAGCCACUAUUUCUGGAGGUCAUUACAGCCCAGGCCCCAGCUUGGGCUCUGAAGAAGGGUCAGACCCUCCUGCCAUUCAUCAGUGGAGUGACCUUGACAGCACUUUUUCAUGUCCCUAAACCUCAGCAUUUUCAGUCUGUAAAAUGGACAUACUGCUCCUUGACAGGGUGCUAGAAGACUGGAGAAGAGAAUGGGUGUAAAUUACCAUAACACAUACAACAUUCUGGUUGCUGCAGUUCACCAUGCUGUGCAUAAAGUUUCUGUCAGCCAUAUUGCUAACUGUAAAAGGAAGAAAAUGAUCUAAAAUCAUUUUGUCUUGGGUUGGAGUGGUGGUUCACUUGGUAAAUUGCACAUGCUAUAUCAUGUGUGAGGAACUGGGUUCAAGCCCUCUCUCUGUGCAUGAAGGGAAGCUUCACAAGUUGUAAAGUAAUGAUAUAGGUAUCCCUCCCUCUCUCCCUCUCCAUUUCUCACCUCUAUUAAAUAAAUAAACAGGGAGUCGGGCAGUAGAGCAGCGGGUUAAGUGCAGGUGGCACAAAGUGCAAGGACUGGCGUAAGGAUACCGGUUUGAGCCCCCGGCUCCCCACUUGCAGGGGAGUCGCUUCACAGGCAGUGAAGCAGGUCUGCAGGUGUCUAUCUUUCUCUCCCCCUCUCUCUUCCCCUCCUCUCCAUUUCUGUCUGUCCUAUCCAACAACGACAUCAAUAAUAACUACAACAAUAAGACAACAAGGGCAACAAAAGGGAAUACAUAAAUAAAUAAAUAUAAAAAGAAAACAA